UUUACAGGCUUAACACAUGCAAGUCGAGGGGCAGCAUUUUAGUUUGCUUGCAAACUGAAGAUGGCGACCGGCGCACGGGUGAGUAACACGUAUCCAACCUGCCGAUAACUCCGGAAUAGCCUUUCGAAAGAAAGAUUAAUACCGGAUAGCAUACGAAUAUCGCAUGAUAUUUUUAUUAAAGAAUUUCGGUUAUCGAUGGGGAUGCGUUCCAUUAGUUUGUUGGCGGGGUAACGGCCCACCAAGACAACGAUGGAUAGGGGUUCUGAGAGGAAGGUCCCCCACAUUGGAACUGAGACACGGUCCAAACUCCUACGGGAGGCAGCAGUGAGGAAUAUUGGUCAAUGGGCGAGAGCCUGAACCAGCCAAGUAGCGUGAAGGAUGAAGGCUCUAUGGGUCGUAAACUUCUUUUAUAUGGGAAUAAAGUUUUCCACGUGUGGAAUUUUGUAUGUACCAUAUGAAUAAGGAUCGGCUAACUCCGUGCCAGCAGCCGCGGUAAUACGGAGGAUCCGAGCGUUAUCCGGAUUUAUUGGGUUUAAAGGGAGCGUAGGUGGAUUGUUAAGUCAGUUGUGAAAGUUUGCGGCUCAACCGUAAAAUUGCAGUUGAAACUGGCAGUCUUGAGUACAGUAGAGGUGGGCGGAAUUCGUGGUGUAGCGGUGAAAUGCUUAGAUAUCACGAAGAACUCCGAUUGCGAAGGCAGCUCACUAGACCGUCACUGACACUGAUGCUCGAAAGUGUGGGUAUCAAACAGGAUUAGAUACCCUGGUAGUCCACACAGUAAACGAUGAAUACUCGCUGUUUGCGAUAUACAGUAAGCGGCCAAGCGAAAGCAUUAAGUAUUCCACCUGGGGAGUACGCCGGCAACGGUGAAACUCAAAGGAAUUGACGGGGGCCCGCACAAGCGGAGGAACAUGUGGUUUAAUUCGAUGAUACGCGAGGAACCUUACCCGGGCUUAAAUUGCAACAGAAUAUAUUGGAAACAGUAUAGCCGUAAGGCUGUUGUGAAGGUGCUGCAUGGUUGUCGUCAGCUCGUGCCGUGAGGUGUCGGCUUAAGUGCCAUAACGAGCGCAACCCUUAUCUUUAGUUACUAACAGGUGAUGCUGAGGACUCUAGAGAGACUGCCGUCGUAAGAUGUGAGGAAGGUGGGGAUGACGUCAAAUCAGCACGGCCCUUACGUCCGGGGCUACACACGUGUUACAAUGGGGGGUACAGAAGGCGGCUACCUGGUGACAGGAUGCUAAUCCCAAAAACCUCUCUCAGUUCGGAUCGAAGUCUGCAACCCGACUUCGUGAAGCUGGAUUCGCUAGUAAUCGCGCAUCAGCCAUGGCGCGGUGAAUACGUUCCCGGGCCUUGUACACACCGCCCGUCAAGCCAUGAAAGCCGGGGGUACCUGAAGUACGUAACCGCAAGGAGCGUCCUAGGGUAAAACUGGUAAUUG
rnacentral:rRNA from 1 species